GAUGAACGCUGGCGGCGUGCCUAAUACAUGCAAGUAGAACGCUGAAGGAGGAGCUUGCUCUUCUGGAUGAGUUGCGAACGGGUGAGUAACGCGUAGGUAACCUGCCUGGUAGCGGGGGAUAACUAUUGGAAACGAUAGCUAAUACCGCAUGACAACAGUUAUUGCAUGAUAACUGUUUAAAAGGGGCAACUGCUCCACUACCAGAUGGACCUGCGUUGUAUUAGCUAGUUGGUGAGGUAACGGCUCACCAAGGCGACGAUACAUAGCCGACCUGGGAGGGUGAUCGGCCACACUGGGACUGAGACACGGCCCAGACGCCUACGGGAGGCAGCAGUAGGGAAUCUUCGGCAAUGGACGGAAGUCUGACCGAGCAACGCCGCGUGAGUGAAGAAGGUUUUCGGAUCGUAAAGCUCUGUUGUAAGAGAAGAACGAGUGUGAGAGUGGAAAGUUCACACUGUGACGGUAUCUUACCAGAAAGGGACGGCUAACUACGUG
rnacentral:rRNA from 1 species